GCAUGUCUGUCUUCCUAUUUUUAAACAGGAGAUUUAAAUAAUCACAUAAUAAAAAUUAUGUUAUAACAUUUCUCUAUUGCACUAAUGAAUGUUCUUUUCUUCAUCUGACUGUGAGUGUUAUCGCCUUGUUUAACUUUGUCUUUUUGGUUCCUUCAGGUUGCAAACCAACAACAUUGUCAGAAUGAAGGUCAACGAAAUGCUUUAAAAAAAAAAAAAAAAACUUUUACAUUCAAAAUGUUUUUGGAAUGUGGUAAGAAAUAAACUUUAACAUUGUUAAUAUCAUUAAUACUUUUCCCUCUGUUUUUUUUUUUUUUUUUAAUAAUAAUAUGUGUAUGAUUGUGUCUUAUGUUGAAUAAAAAUAACUCUCUUACUUCCUUUGGCAUUGCAGGGCUUUGUUAGUUUGCCAAUGGUUUGUCUUCCUUCAGUUGCCAAAAAAUCGUCCUACAAUGGAUGUUAAAGUCUUUGAUCCUAUCCUAAAGAGCAGCCCUGCAGGUGAAAAGGCCAUAAACAAAUAUGCACACUCUAAAAGUCUGUCAGAUGGCCGAAGACGUGACAUGGUGAAAAUCUUGGUAGCAUAUUUGACAAAUGAACUUGGAACAAGCCCUUCCCGAAAUUUAAAAGAAGAAUGUGCAAAGGGAAUCAUGUCCCUAUUCCCAUACUUGGUUGACCCCAGGAGUAAGUUUGGUUAUGUAAGUAGCUGUCGCCUCUCAUUCUUUUUGAUUUAUUUUCAAACAUUUAUACCCUGAUCUUUUUGCAAGGGCCUAGUACAGGAGUUGCAGAUUUACAGUUAGAAAUUGUUUUCAUUUGGGACUCUGAAUAACAAAAUCAUGUUGCUGAAAAAGUUUAACUGUACGACUUCAAUUUAUCCACACAUCUGUAGUCAUCAAGACUUGGGCAUGAAUGUGCUGUUAAUACUGAAUCUGUGUUCAGCAUAAACUAAAGUACUGGAGUGGUUAAUGUAUUUGUAUUAGCACAUCUUCCAAUGAAGUCAAGUUAAAAUGAGCAGGAGGCAUGUUCAACUCCUUCUACCUAAAAACUAAAAACCUAAAAAAAAAUGUUGUUUAUUUUGUUUUCCCUGUCUCCAGGUUGGCACAGCGACAUCUUCCAUUCUGUUGCUAGUUCACCUUUUGCCACCCUCAAGUCAACACCGCAAAAUACCAGCUAGACAAGCAUGUGAUCGUCUUGUGAAAUUCAUCAAGGUGAAGCUACUGAUGAAGAAGAUCAAAUGACACUAGCUCAUAAUGUUGUAUUAAUGUGUGACAUUGAACUUGCUUAUUUCUCAGAAAGGUUCUUAAAGGGUUAGUUCACCCAAAAAUGAAAAUUCGUUCAUUAAUUAGACAUCCUCAUGUCUUUUCAAACCCGUAAAACCUUCAUUUUCUUCUUUGGAGCACAAAUUAAGAUAUUUUUUGAAGGAAUCCAAGAGCUCUCUGACCCUCCAUAGACAGCAAGGGUACUACCACAAGGCCCAGAAACAAAGUAAGGACAUUGUUAAAAUAGUCCAUGCGACAUCAGUGUUUCAACCAUAAUUGUACAAUGCUACAAAAAAUACUUUUUGUGCGCAAAGAAAACUCAAAUAACAAUUAUUCAAUCAUUCUUCUCCUUCAAGUCAGCAUCCUCAGCUUUUAUCGAGAGUACCACCAUGCAUGUGUGUAAAGCUCCUGACAUCGAACAUGCAUGCACUGUGCCUUGUUUAUUGAGCAGAGGAAAGCAUGUGCAUGUACGUUUUUCAUUUAUAUUUUAGGGCUUUUUGAGGAUAAAACAUGAAGGGUGUAAUUAAGAAGAUUAACUCUGGAUAGAGUUAGGUAUUUAUUGAAGUUCACUCAUAAUUGAUGAUAAACAAAUCUGGAGGGGAGGUAAAUUGUGGUAGAGUAAAUUGACUGUCCUCUGAACAGAGUUAAAAAGUAGCAGAGUCAAUUUCUUUUACCUCUGAACUGAGAAAAAUAGUACAAGAUUUAAUUAAAAAAAAAAAAUAAAAAUAGAGUCAAAUAUAACAGGAAAGAGUAAAAUAUAAACACUAAAUAGAGCAAAAUUAACUCUGGAAAAACAGCGCUAUCAAAAAAAUAACAUUUACUCUUUUCAGAGAGGGACCAAAUGUUAUCUGGCAUAGAGUAAAAUUUUCUUCAAUUUGAGUAAAUUUUACUCAGGUAAAUUUACUGUGUAGGAAGGCCUUAGAGGCCGCAACACCUCUAGUGGAGUGAGCCUUGACCCCCAGGGGAGAGGGGAGGCCAGAGGACUCAUAAGCUUAGGAAAUGGCAUCUACUAUCCACCGACUGAGGGUCUGUUUCGUAGCUGGAAGACCUCUCUUAGGGGGACCAUAGCAAACAAACAACUGGUCCGCCCUUCUCCACAGGGCAGCUCUGUGGACGUAUGUGUCCAGUGCUCGCACUAGACACAUACAGUUAAGCUUCUUCUGGUCUGGCUCCCUGAAGGGAGGAGGACAGAAGGCCAGGAGUACAACAGGCUGUGGGGUAGACGAGGGGAACUUAGGGACAUACCCCACCCUCCUGACGGGAAUCUCCCAUGGAGAGCCGUCAAGGAGGGAAAUCAGGUCCGAGAACCAUACUCGGCCCGGCCAGAACGGGGCUACCAGCAGCAGCCGGACCCCGUCCCGGCGCACUCUCUCCAGAACACCCGGGAGCAGAGCGAUCGGGAGAAAAGCAUACAGACGAAGCCUUGGCCAUGCCUGUACCAUGGCGUCCAGCCCCAGUGGAGCUGGAUGAGUCAGGGAACCAGAGGGGACAGUGCGAUGUCUCUCAAGUCGCAAACAGGUCCACCUGAGCUUGGCCAAAAACUCUCCAAAUCUGCUUCACCAUCUCGUUGGGAAGCCGCCAUUCCCCGGGCCUCGGCCCCUGCCUCGACAGGAUGUCUGCUCCCAAAUUGAGAUGCCCAGGAAUGUGAACUGCUCUCAGUGAGAGGAGUUUGUCCUGGGACCACACAAGGAUCUGGUACACUAGUUUGUACAAACAGCAUGAGCGCAGACCUCCUUGGUGGUUGAUGUAUGAGACCACCGCUGUGUUGUCGGUGCGCAGUUUUUGAAACUGCUUGACAGUGAGUGACCAGCCUUCUCUUACUCUCGUGACUGCGGCGAGGAUCGACUCGAUCCGAGCAGGUGACAUAUGUGCCUGCAUCAUGGUCGAAUCCCACACCACGCCUAGAUAAGUGGUCCUCUGUAAUGGAGAAAGCACAGUUUUCUUGGCGUUUAGUCUUAACCCCAGCUCUUUCAUAUGGAGCGAGAACGACAUCACGAUGCCAAACCACCAUCUGCUCUGAUUGAGCUAAAAUCAACCAAUUGUUGACAUAGUUCAGUAUGCAGAUGCCCUGGAGUCACAGUGGAGCCAGGGCUGCAUCCACACACUUUGUGAAAGUGCGGGGUGAGAGUGCAAGGCCGAAGGAAAGAACCUGAUAUUGGUACGCUUUGCCCCCAAAAGCGAACAUCAGGAACUUCCUGUGAUUGGGAAGGAUGGAGAUAUGGAAGUAUGCGACUUUUAGAUCUAUCGUGACAAACCAGUCCUCGGACCUGAUCUGAGACACAACCUGUUUGAGAGUGAGAAUCCUGAACUUCAGUCACUUGACUGAGCGGUUCAAUAGACACAGAUCUAAAAUGGGACGCAACCCUCCAUCCUUUUUUUGGAACUAUGAAGUAUCGGCUGUAGAACCUGGACUCUCUGUCGUGAGGAGGGACCACCUCGAUGGCCUCCUUCCUCAGGAGAGUGUGCACUUCCUGUUCCAUAACCAGAGCCUGCUCGGGACCCACUAGACCAGAUCCAACUGCGAACCCCACGAGCGAGAUCGCCGCUCCGCCUUGGCAGAAGUGGGACCAGCACCGCGGGGAACGCUCACGAAGGCUCCCUCCGCAAAGAGAGCCCUCCUGGAGCGGAGAACAUGCAGGGCAAGCCGCUCGCAAUGUGGGCAGUCGGCUCCCUCGAGAGCCGACUCUGCAUGCUCCACUCCAAGGUAAACAACCUUAAGAGGUGCACAUAUAUUUCCUAUUCUCAUAGAAUUAGAAUUAUUAUUAAACAUUAUAGUUGUCAUCAGGGGCGGUUUCUUCAUUAGGGCGAAUGGGCGAGGCACCACCAAAGUAGCGAUGUAUGUGCGAUUCAAUGCUUUCAAAAUAUAUACACAUUAAAUUACUACAAGCAAGAAUUAAUGGAGACCUUGAACAGUGUUCGUGUCUCGCAUCUCUCCAUCAUGCGCUCCACUGUUUACUGCCUGUGACUGUCACAGGAUUGCGCUCGCAUUCCGUUCAUCUCACUGACACAUUUUUUGAGAAGCUGAUGUGUGAUCUCUCCUUAAGACUCGUGGCCAGUAAUGCUAAAGUGAAGUAGUUUUACUUUUCUGUAGUUUUUCAAUGCUCUCAGCAUCUUACCGACGGCAUUACCUGAGCAGUUGUAAGCAUACGCACAGUUCCAUUGAAUGAUAAAUGUGUUUUAACAAUGUUGUUGAACUGAAUGUACGAAGGAAACUGUUAAAAUAACCAUAGCAUUAACAACAACCUUGAAAUAAAAGCGCAAGGUUUAUCUGAUAAUAAGAUGCAUGAAAGUAGCGUUCGUUGCUAUAGAAACAGACAUUGACACGUUUUCUUUCAGGAUCAUCAUUCGCUGAUGAAGAGGAAAAGUAAAAUGCUAUAGCAUUUUGUUUUAUGAAACUGAGAUAAAGAAGUUUUCGCACUGAAAGAGAAGUGAUCUGGUGCUCAUAGAACUUAUCAGAUGUGCCAGAUAUCUGCAGCUAAGCUGAAUAAAAAGCAGAAUAAACUGAAACGUUAAGACAAAAAAAAAAAAAAUCAUGAAUGAUGCAGUGCUAAUGGACAUAUCAUUUAUUACAGUACAGAAACUAUAAAGCAUAUUUUCUACCUUAUUCUGUGCAGAAAAUUGAAAUAAUUGUUUGUAGUAUAUAAAACAAUCAUAAAAGUGCCAUUAGGAAAAAAAUUACAGAUUACAAAUGAUUGAUUAUUGUCCAGCAGUGUAUUUGAUUUCUUAUAAGAAAAUAAUUCCUUGUAAAAUAUUAUAUAUAUAUAUAUAUAUACAUAAAAUUAUUGUAUUUGACAUUUCUGUAACUUCUGAAAUGAUGGCUAUGCCCCUGGUGUGACAAAAUGUUAGCCUAUACAUAAUACUUUUAAAGCUCUUUUUUAAAAUCUUGGCUUACGUAAUUUUUUACGUAUGCCACGUCAUGCCAUAGCAUCAUUAAACUAGCAUCUAACAAUGGACAAAAGUUUUUUUUUCUCUCUCCCUCUCUCUCUCUCACUUCCGGUGCGGGUGUUGAGCGCGAGUGGAUGGAGUGGCGUGAGCGUGGUGUAGAGUGGCGUGAGUGAAUUCUUCUCUCUUUAUUCUCUACGCUGGUUUUGUUUGUUGUUGUUUUUUUUCUGGUUUUUGUUUUGUUACUCUGUGUGUGUGUGUGUGUUUGUGUGUGUUGCCUUGUCUCGCUGUUGUUACGCAUAGGGUCGCGU
ensembl:lncRNA